AAUUUAUUUUAUUAAUAAAAUAAAAAUAAUUUUGUGAUUAGGAUUUUUAUAAAAAUAAUUUAAUUUUUUUUUGUUUUAGUAUUAAGUAAAAAUUAAUUUUAAGAUUUAUAGUUUAUUAGUAUUGUGAAAGAAAUUUUUUAAAUUUAUUAAAGAUUAAGAUUUAGUACCUUUUGUAUCAGGGUUAAUUAAAAUUUUUAAUUUAAAUUUAAUUUCUCAAAAUUUAUAGAGUUAAUUUUAUUAUUAAUUUAUUGUUUUAUAAAUAUUUAAAAAAUAAUUUUAGUUUAAAAAUUUAAUUCGUUAUAAUAUAUUUAGUUAUUUAAGAUUUAAAUUUAAUUUAUAAUUUUAAAAGUUAUGUUAAUUUUUUUUUAUAUUAAUAUUUUAAAUUUAAAUUAUUUUAGGGAUAAGCUUAAAAUUUUUAUAUAAUAAUUUUAAUUUAAAUUAAAUAUUUUAUAGAAAUAGAAAUUUUUAUUUAAAGUUUGUAAUAAUUUAUUAUUUAUUUAAUUUUAAUUUAUUAUAAUUUGUUUAUUUUAUAUAUUAAAUUUUAUAAUUAAAUUAUUUAAUUAUAGAAAUAAUGAUUAAAUUAGUAUAAUUUUUUUUUAUUAAUUAUGAAUUUGGCAAAAAUUAUUUUCAUCUGUUUAACAAAAACAUUGUAUUAAGUUUAAUUUAAUAUAGAAUCUGCUCAAUGAAAAUAUUUAAAUAGCUGCAGUAUUUUGACUGUGCAAAGGUAGCAUAAUAAUUAGUCUUUUAAUUGAAGAAUAGAAUGAAAGAUUUGAUGAAAAAUAAACUUUAUUAUUAAUAUAAUUAAAAUUUUAUUUUUAAGUAAAAAAGCUUAAAUAUUUUAAAGGGACGAUAAGACCCUAUAAAACUUUAUAAUUAUUAAGAUUUAUUUAUUAAGUUUUAGUAAUGAUUUAAAUUUUAAUAAUUAUUUUAUUGGGGUGAUAAAAAAAUUUUUUUAACUUUUUUUAAAAAUUAACAUUAAUUAUUGAUUAUUUGAAUUAAAAAUUUUAUUUAAAAGAAAAAGUUACUUUAGGGAUAACAGCGUAAUUAAUUUUUUAAGUUCAAAUUUUAAAAUUAGUUUGCGACCUCGAUGUUGAAUUAGGAUUAUUAUUAGGUGCAAAAUUUUAAUUAAUAGGUCUGUUCGACCUUUAAAUUCUUACAUGAUUUGAGUUCAAACCGGUGUAAGCCAGGUUGGUUUCUAUCUUUUAAAAUUUAAUCUAUUUUAGUACGAAAGGAUUUUAUAGUUAAAUUAAAUUUUUAAAAAUUUGAAUUAAGUUAAAUAAUAAA
rnacentral:rRNA from 1 species